rnacentral:rRNA from 1 species
UACGUAGGGUGCAAGCGUUGUCCGGAAUUAUUGGGCGUAAAGAGCUCGUAGGCGGUCUGUCGCGUCGGCUGUGAAAGCUCGGGGCUCAACCCCGAGCCUGCAGUCGAUACGGGCAGACUAGAGUGCUGUAGGGGAGACUGGAAUUCCUGGUGUAGCGGUGAAAUGCGCAGAUAUCAGGAGGAACACCGGUGGCGAAGGCGGAUCUCUGGGCAGUAACUGACGCUGAGGAGCGAAAGCGUGGGGAGCGAACAGG